rnacentral:rRNA from 1 species
CCUACGGGUGGCUGCAGUGAGGAAUAUUGGUCAAUGGGCGGAAGCCUGAACCAGCCAAGUAGCGUGCAGGAUGACGGCCCUACGGGUUGUAAACUGCUUUUAUCCGGGAAUAACGCGCCUUACGUGUAGGGCUUUGCAUGUACCGUAUGAAUAAGGCCCGGCUAAUUCCGUGCCAGCAGCCGCGGUAAUACGGCAGGUCCGGGCGUUAUCCGGAUUUAUUGGGGUUAAAGGGAGCGUAGGCCGGAUGUCAAGCGUGCUGUGAAAUGUCCGGGCGCAACCCGGGCCUUGCAGCGCGAACUGGCGUGCUUGAGUCGGCGGAAAGUAGGCGGAAGUCGUGGUGUAGCGGUGAAAUGCUUAGAUAUGACGAAGAACCCCGAUUGCGAAGGCAGCUUGCUGGAGCGGAACUGACGCUGAUGCUCGAAAGCGCGGGUAUCGAACAGGAUUAGAUACCCGGGUAGUC